rnacentral:lncRNA from 1 species
AUGUCCUCAGCGAGCACCAACUCCAGAGACGCCCUGGACAAGGUGUGGUGUGAACAGGGUGAAAACUCUCGACCCCCUGGGUGUUCAUAACAAGCAGGAGGAGAGACAGACAUUCCAGAAGCAAAGGAACAAAUGAAGAAGAUUCGGGCUGCACUUGAGGGCUGUCCAGCCACCUGGGGAGGUGCGGUCUGGCCACCAGGGAGGAGGAAGCCAGGGCUUGUGAAAUGGGGCCCCAGCAGGGAAGGCAAGUGCACAGGCCAGAGGCAAGGAGGGCUGGGCGCCUGCCUGAGGGAGGAGGGCCAGCAAGAGGAAGGGGGGCAAGAUGAAGUAUGAGAGGGCAUGUGCGGAGCCUCCGCCUAUGAGCCACCUAGGAUGGCCCUGGUCAAACCCAGAGUUGCUGGGGAGUCCUUCCCAGGCCAGGAGCAUGAACCUGAGGAAUUUGAGGAAUUCUCUGGAACACAGGGAACAGUACGGACAGCAUCUUCUUCCAUGCAUUUUCUCACCUAGUCCUGGGUGAGGUACAGCUUGGCCCAAUGUCACAAUGAGACUGAAGCUCAAGAUGGGAAGGGACCCAUAAGCUAGAGGGCAACCGACGACGUUUUAACCCCACGGCUGCCUCAUCCUGAUCUCACCAUCACACACGCUUUUGCAACCCCAACAAACUGAACUGCACACCCACCGUGCAUCAGGCACGCCCAACACUGUGACAUACGCUACUAUAAUGCAUCGGGUCAGUCCUCUUGACAGAGGCCAGAGAUGGGCUCAAAGAGGGCAAGCACCUUGCCCACGGCCACACAGCUGGCCCGAGCAGAGGGGAUGGGAAUCCAGGAUUUCCAGGGACAUGGGAACAGAGAGUCUGGACUUGACCACACCAGCCUGGCCCUAAAGUCUCUAGGAGAAACCACAGUGUCCCAAGGGUCUCAGGACCGCCUCCCACAGUGAAACUUCCCUGGCCGUGUGCUGCUGUCUGCCUCUCCCUCAUAGCCAACUAGUGCUGCGGGGAGGCAGGGGCUGCGGGGAGGCAGGGCUGCUGCUGGUGCCCAACCCAUUCGGCUCUGGCUGUGCUAUGUGACCUUGAGCCACUGGUCCUCUCCUCGCCUGUGUCCAAGAGGAUAAAGUAUGUUUGCGGGCAUUUGUCUUGGAGCAGGAUGUGUGAACAUCAGGUUUCUGUCCAAGGGCAGGUGGGACAGCCACUGAGAACUCCAGGAAAAGCUUUCUCAUAUCUGAAGCUUUUAUUUAGCACCUACUGUAUGUGCCUCUCAACACUACUUGGAGACACUGCCUGGAUCAGGCAGAAGAAUCAGAGUCAGCACACCAAAGCCACAGGCCAGCCAUUCCUGGAAGGCUGUCUCCUCCUCAGGCUAGGUAUCCUGGAGAGGUCAUGUGUAUCCAGUGGGGGAGGUGGGGUAUGUGGCCAGAAGCAAGGAGGAUGAUGAAGCUACUUCGUACCUCCAUUCUCACGUCAGCAUCUGACAGCUGGAGGGAGAUUUUGGGGGGCUAUAGAUUCUUCCCACACUCUGCCCCUGCCCGUUCCAGCUUGCCCUGCCUCCAGCUUUAAGAUACAUAAUUAUAGGAUUAAUCCUUGCCUCCAUUUCCAUAUCAGUUAAACAGGCCUAAUUUUACUGCCUGCCUGAUACAACUGGUGGGGAAUUAAUAGAGUUAAACUGUGCACAGGGCCCAGAUCAGGGGUCCAGCACCCAGUAGGUGCUCACAUGAGGCACAUCCUUACAUGGACAUAAGGUUUGGGGUAUGGGUGCAUGUUUUUCUAGAAGGAUCAGUGAUGUGUAGGCACCUGACCUCCCUUUACAUUUCCCCUUGAGUGAAGGAUUUGGGAGCAGGAAAUUUAUUUGGGAAGUGAUCCUGGGAGUGAGGAAACACAGGGGAAGGACGGCAGCAAGUCGGAGGGGUGCUGAUGAACGAGUCCCUGCCAAGGGAACCCAGGCUCCAGCCCGCUGGUGCCUUGGCUAUCCCCCCCAGGGGGCAAAGAUGAUCCCAGAGGGGUCUGUAGUGUUGUGGGAAGGAGGAGUUGCAGUGGCCUGACGGUGUCUACCCCACCAAGGGGUACAGGGCCUGGGAGGCAAGGGGGGCUGGGGGAGGAGUGACUAGGAGGUGUUAAUUCCCAGGGCUGCAACUGCAGGCAGCUCUGGUGACCAGAGGAGGCACUCCUGCAGAGUUAGCGUGUGCACAGAAGAGGGAGAUAGGAAGUGGACAGUCCCGGGAGCUUGUGUCUCACGCACGGCACAGCACACAUGCGUGUAGCGUGCACGGCUCUGUGUGCCCCUGCUCCUCUGCAGGGACACACGGGUCCCUGUGCAGUCUACUGUGUGUUGUGCACUGCACACACACACACGGGGCUGUGCUUUCCCAAAGACAGAUCUGUGCUGCUGUUUGUGCUGGGGUUGGACACCACAGUAUAGGUUCCUGUGUGUCUGCUCUUGCACACAGCUGUGUGUGUGUGUGUGUGUGUGUAUUUUAUAUAUAAUGUUUAAGCUUUGUGAGGCAUGUCUGCUCAGGGCAGGUGCACAUGCACGCACUACAGUCCGUCACCCAACCCUGGUUGGCAGUGGUCAUGGGAUGGCAGAGAUGGCCUGGUCACCUUGGCAACAGGGCAGGAGCCUGCUAAGCUGGGACAGCUUUGGUUCAAAGGAAAAAAAAAAAAAAAAA